UAAUUUUGUGAAUAUUAUGAUGGUGUCCGAUUAUGUCUAACUUAAUAAUUAAUUUAAUUUAUUAUAAGUCGUAAAGUAAAACAGAUGUCUGAAAAAAUAAGUGAGAAAAGCGACCCCGUUUACAGAAUAAUACAAACAGACAAAUGAUAAUACCCCCACCCCAUUUUUCCGUUUCCCGUUUCCCGUUCUCGCCUCUCUCUCUCUGUCUCUCCUCCUCUCUCACACUCAUCAGUCAAAGCAGAAAGAAACCAGAAAGCUGAAGACUUUAGCCUUCAAACAGCCAGAAAUACAAGCUCUCUCUCGUCUAACUGCAGAGCACUACCAGCAGUAGUAGAUGCUCUUUACUCUUUCCUUCUCUAUAUUGGACUCCUAACUUCCUUCACCACACUCCCUUCAUUUCCCCUCUUCAUGGCCGGCAACCCUUCCGACACUCCUUCCGAUGAUUUCCUCCAGGAAAUCCUCGGCCUCCAGAGCUUCG
rnacentral:lncRNA from 1 species